GCCAGCAUGGUGUAAUGGUUUGCAUGCCGGAUUAUGACUCUGGAGACCAGAGUUUGAAUCCCAGCUCAGCCA